rnacentral:rRNA from 1 species
GACAGAGGGUGCAAGCGUUGCUCGGAAUUACUGGGCGUAAAGCGCGUGUAGGUGGAUUGGUGUGUCAGAUGUGAAAGCCCUGGGCUCAACCCAGGAACUGCACCUGAAACUACCAGUCUUGAGUGGUGGAGAGGGAAGUGGAAUUCCUGGUGUAGAGGUGAAAUUCGUAGAUAUCAGGAGGAACACCAGUGGCGAAGGCGGCUUCCUGGACACUAACUGACGCUGAGACGCGAAAGCGUGGGGAGCAAACAGG